rfam:Dufourea novaeangliae contig2676, whole genome shotgun sequence.
CAAUCGGCCCUUUUCAGGGCCAAAAUGAUUCCAACAAAGUACAAU